rnacentral:rRNA from 1 species
GGAAUCUUGGACAAUGGGGGAAACCCUGAUCCAGCAAUGCCGCGUGUGGGAUGAAGGCCCUCGGGUUGUAAACCACUUUUGGCAGGAAAGAAAUCGCCUGUGCUAAUACCACGGGCGGAUGACGGUACCUGCAGAAUAAGCACCGGCUAACUACGUGCCAGCAGCCGCGGUAAUACGUAGGGUGCGAGCGUUAAUCGGAAUUACUGGGCGUAAAGAGUGCGUAGGCGGUUUUGUAAGACAGAUGUGAAAUCCCCGGGCUUAACCUGGGAACUGCAUUUGUGACUGCAAGACUAGAGUGUGUCAGAGGGAGGUGGAAUUCCGCGUGUAGCAGUGAAAUGCGUAGAGAUGCGGAAGAACACCGAUGGCGAAGGCAGCCUCCUGGGAUAACACUGACGCUCAGGCACGAAAGCGUGGGGAGCAAACAGGAUUAGAUACCCUGGUAGUCCACGCCCUAAACGAUGUCAACUGGUUGUUGGGGAUUCAUUUCCUUAGUAACGUAGCUAACGCGUGAAGUUGACCGCCUGGGGAGUACGGCCGCAAGGUUAAA